CAGUAGCCGCGGUAAUACGAAGGGGGCUAGCGUUGCUCGGAACGACUGGGCGUAAAGGGCGCGUAGGCGGUUUGUCGAGUUAGAUGUGAAAUUCCCGGGCUUAACCUGGGGACUGCAUUUGAUACUGGCAGGCUUGAGUGUGGAAGAGGGUCGUGGAAUUCCCAGUGUAGAGGUGAAAUUCGUAGAUAUUGGGAAGAACACCGGUGGCGAAGGCGGCGACCUGGUCCAUAACUGACGCUGAGGCGCGAAAGCGUGGGGAGCGAACAGGAUUAGAUACCCCCGUAGUCCCUGUCUCUUAUAC
rnacentral:rRNA from 1 species